ensembl:lncRNA
UAUUUUAAAAUUCUUGGUCUUUGUUUCUUGAUCUCCUCAUUUAUGACUGCAUUAAUGUCUUUUAAAUUACAGCAGAGACUAGCCCUAGAGAUAAAGAAGAAAGAAAACAAAAGAACUCUUAUUGACUGCCUACUUUCAGGCAGAUUUUAUGAAAACUCAUAUCGUUUUCAUUUAGUUUGCCCUAUGCUCCCGUUUUUAUUGCACAAAUAAAGAAACGGAGUUGCCACUUUGGUACAGUGGGUUAAGAAUCCAACUGCAGUUGCUCGGGUCAUGGUGCAGAGGAGUGGCUUCAAUCCUGGGUCUACGCAGUGGGCUAAAGGAUCCGGCAUUGCCGCAGGUGCACCUGGGGUUCAUUCUCUGGUGGGGAGCUUCCAUAUGCCGUGGGUGUGGCCAUAAAAAGCAAAAGAAACAGAAGCCCACAGAUGUUUACUGUAUCCUCGGAGGUCCUACCGUUGGUGAUGUACAAAGCCUAUUUUGAAAUCCAAGUUUGUCUGACUGUAAACCAGUCAGAAGGAAACUCAUGUUUUUAUGUCAUGCCUUUAAAAAUCUCUUAAACCGUAACAGUCUAAAAUUAGCAGUGCUUUUUUGAACCUUGAAUCCUAAUAAGAAUGUAACUUUUGGAGUUCCCAUUGUGGCCCAGUGGUAAUGAACCAGAUUAAUAUCCAUGAGGAUGCGGGUUUAAUCCCUGGCCUCACUCAGUGGGUUAAGGAUCUGGCAUUGCUGUGAGCUGUGGAGUAGGUCACAGAUGCAGCUGGGAUCCCACCUAGCUGGGCUGUGGUGUAGGCUGGCAACUGCAGCUCUUAUGCAGCCCCUAGCCUGGGAACUUCCAUAGGCCGUGGGUGUGGCCCUAAAAAGACCCCCACCCCACCCCCAAAAAGAAGAAGCUAUAGGGAGUUCCCAUUGUGGCUUAGUGGAUUAAAGACCUGACAUCAUGUCUGUCAGUAUACGAGUUCCAUCCCUGGCCUCCCUUAGUGGGUUAAGGAUCUGGAGGUGCAGCUUGGAUCCCAUGUUGCUGUGGCUGUGGCAUAGGCUGGUAGCUGCUGCUCCAAUUCUACCCCUAGCCUGGAAACUUCCAUAUGCAGCAGGUGUAGCCAAGAAAAAGAUAAAAAGAAGCUACAUUUUUUAUUUAACAAGCCUAAUGUGUUUGAAACCUUCAAAUCCCCGCUUCACGUCUUACCAAAGAAAUAGCUUUGAUUCAAAUCUUACAUGGAUGUCUAGCUCUCUGAUGGACUGAUGAUAGACAGCAUGGCUGAUGGGUUGCUGCGCUCGGGUAAAUUUGAGGGGUAUUUGCUCUUUGGCCAGGGAGAUAAACACUUUAUGUUGUUCCCCUCCUAAGUGAGGUUAGAAAAAGCUCCUGGUUUUGUUAAUGAACACAGGUAAAGUCUAAAGGGUAUGCUUAGCUUUCGUCAGCCCACCAUUCUUGCACGACUAACACAAAAGUUAAAGAUAAUGAUCACUGAGUAACUCAGUCCCUGGGUAUUUAAUAGCAAGAUGGAGACUGUUUACCCUCAUGCAUAGUCCCUUUUAUCUGCUUGGAUGGGACAAUGUUGGUCCCUCUUUCAAUUAAGAAAAGUGUGAUCAGUGUUUGAUAAUCGUUUGAUAUUUGACCUGUUUUGUGAAUUAGCAAAUUAAGUCAUGUCUUCAUUCAGUGAAUAAUUUAAUACAUUUAUUCAACCCUGUGUUUCAUGCUGGGGAUACAGGAUGACUAGUUCAGAGUACCUUACACCAAGGAGCUCAGAAUCAAGAUACAUGAGAUGAAUUAAAGCACAAUGGGAUAAAAGCAUGAAGGAAAGGCAGGGAAAAAGCACAUAAGUUGGUCUGGAAUAGAUGAGAGUGUUGAUGUGUGGUAGGGUGUUUGGUUCAUAGUGACUGGUGUGAAGAAAGUGUGGCAGAGAGCUAGGAGAUGAAGCUACUUGGGAGGUGGGUAGGAACUUGGUUGUGAAAGAUGAAUUUAUUAUGUAGACAGUGGGGAGGCAUCAAUAGUUUUUAGAUGGGAAUGGCAUCAACAACUUUGUGUUUUACAGGUGUCAGUCUUAAGGAAGCUGGGUAUGGUCGUGCAGGUUGAACACUGCACAUCCCAAAACUUGCCAUUUACAUGGUAACCAACCAGACUGGUGUCCAUGAGGAUGAGGGUUCGAUUCCUGCCCUCACUCAGUGGGUUAAGGAUCCUGUGUGGCUGUGAGCUGUGGUAUAGGUUGCAGACGUAGAUCUGGCAUUGCUGUGGCUGUGGCAUAGACUGGCAGCUGCAGCUCUGAUAUGACCCCUAGCCUGGGAACUUGAACUUCCAUAUGCCAUGAGUGUGGCUCUAAACAAUAUAUAUAUAUAUAUAGAUAGAUAGAUAGAUAGAUAGAUAGAUAGAAAGAAAGAUAAAGAACUUUAUACAUAAACAUCUUUAUAUGUAUACAUAUGCAUCUCUUUCCAUAUAUGUGUAUAAAUAUAAAUGUAUAUACAUAUGAAUACUCUUGUGUCCAUACAUAUAAGACUUUUUAGUAUAUUGGCUACUCCGAGGGCAGAUAGCAUGUCCUAGUUCUCCUUGUAUCUCCAGAGCUGCUCGCACAGCACCUGACUAGGUACUUUUUUAAAUACUAGAACAGCAUUGAAUAGAAUAGACAAAAUUACUUAUUUCCUGGUGCUUAUGUUCUAGUGGAGGGGGUAGGAGGAAACAGACCAUAAACAUAUAAUACCUCUGAAUAAAGUAAGUGCUGUGGAGGGAGGGAAAGCAGGACUUGGGUGCUGGGCAGUGUGGAGGUGGUAGGCAGUUCACAUAAGGCAUUUAAAGACGUCUCUGAGAGAUUAUAUGUUUGGAGAGACCUAAAGAGGCAUGAAUGAGGUCAAGUCACAAGGAUACCUAAAGGAACUGCACUCCAGGCAGAGGGAAUCACAGAUUCCUCUAAGGGAGGAAUAUUCUGGAAUGUAUAAACUCACUGACCACUAGAGAUUGUUAAUGAGAAUUCCUUAAUUUUACAGAAGAAACCGAGCUCCAUAAAUGCCAACUAAUUAUCUAACAUCCAUCCCAUCCCUAGGGAGAGGGAGUCAGGACUAAAUCUCUUCAUCCACUCAGGCUCUUCCUUCGAGGCUCUGAGGAAAGUCAUCUUUUUCUAAGGGAAACUGCAGUUAUUUAACCAAAACAAAAAUCAGUGAACACACACAAACAAAAAGUAAAUACAAAACAACUUUUUUUUUUUAAUUUCAAAAUGUGUGUUUCCUCUGUACAUACUUCUUUUUGGUCUGGGUUCUUGAAAUCUAAUUUUGUAUCCCUUAAUAAGUCAAAAGUAUUUAUUAUCCUAGAAAGGUUUUUUUUUUUUAAUGUACAUUAUCACUAAUGGUUCCAUUAGUACUUUUUCCCUGAAAAUCAUGCAACUGUAGUGUAAGUGAGAGCUUAUCCUCAGAAUUUUUUGUGCAUGAAUCUUUUUGGUGAUUAAAAAGUCAUAUAAAAGAAAAGUUUCCGUCUAUGAAAACUACUAAACAGAUGUUGCGGUUUUAAGAGUGAUUUAUGUCUCAUCUCUGUGGUAGGCAUUUUAUAGUCUAUGCAUAAUGCUGCACGGUGGGUUUGACCUCCCCCCAACCCCAACUGAACUGAACAUCUUCUUUUGAUAUACUAUGGAUAUAAACAGAUUAUUUGUUUGGCUCUCCUAACCACUUGGAAAUUGUUAACUGAAUGUUGAUUUGUUUUUUAAACUGCCAUGCCUCAUUCUAAUGGGAACUUAUUCCUCCUUGGUGAUCAAUUUCAAAAUAAAUAGGAAUCAAACUUUUUAAAGGCAAACCUCUUAUUUUUUAUUUUUUAAUUAGGGGAUUCCAAAGUUACAUCAUAGAUAGAAUGGAUGAGCUACUUUGAGAGUGAGCUGUGUAUUUUUGCUAGUUUUAUAUAUUUUUUAAAAAAUUUAGUGCUAGUAAUUACUGAGAUGACUCACAAUUUAACAUCUAGUAAUAUUUCAUGUGACCGUACAGCAUACACAAAACUGAUUUCAAGUAUUAACUGCCACUUGCUUGACGUACCUCCCCAUGUGAGAUCUUCGUGUAGCUUUUUUCUUGCUUUGUGUCCUACCAGAAAUCGCAUUGUAAAUUCAUGUAUACCAUUUAUAUUUCUCAUGCAUAUAUUCUUAAUGAGUGUGACUAGGGAGUAUAGGUAGUCAUUUCUCAUGCAUUUUUGAUGUGUGUUGACACAGAUACUCAGUGAUGAUGUUGAAAUAUUAAUAAGUUUCUCUACAAGUUCCCAGAACUAUUCAUCAUUCUUUCAUUUAUUAAUAUAGUUGGAGAGAGUACACAAGAUAGAAAACCACACUGUAAUAUAUUUGGAAUUAACUCCAUUCACCAGGAUAUAAUCUCUUCCAUUUUCAGUCGAAUGUUCUAGACACUCUCUCCUCUUAUUACUCCUCAUGAGUUAUAGCCAUUGUACCAUAAUUUUCCUUCACUUUAUAGCACUCUCUGACACUUGAAACUCAUUGAAUACAUUUACUUACAUGCAUCAAAUGCAAGUAGGAAAUUGAAGGGUAUGCUUUCAUGGAGAAUCUGCUGCUGUAUAGAAAAAGAUGACAUUGAAAAAGAUAGCUUGGAUCAGAGUGAAUCUUAGGUUGACGUUUUACCAUGUUAAUUGUGCCAUCUAUUUCUACAAUCACAAAGUUGAGGGUCUCCACCCAAUUGAAAUCUCGUCCAUCACACAUUAUGGCUUAUUCUAAAAAUUAAAGCCCCAACCAUGUGCAAUUAGUGUAGUAAAAAUGCCAUCAAGUUUUGAUACUAUUUCUGGUUAAUCUUCUGAAAAAUUAUUCACAUGGGGGAAAGAAUUCCAAACUUUAAAUUAUAAAAUAAAAUUGAUUCUGUCAAUUAAUUCUGUCGAAGUAUAGUUUAAUUGAUAAAUCGUGAGUGUUAUGUCUACUGAUGGAAAAGAAAAUCUACUAUAUAAAAACUGAAGUUUUGAAUUCAUUUACAAGUAAUUAUAUAUUCUUAGCUAAAAUGAUCAUUCUCUCAACCUAAUGUUUAAUAUUAGACUGAGACAAAUAAUAUUUCUAGGUACAAUUUUGCAUCAUUUUUGAUCAUUUGAAUUCAGUUUUAUCUAUUUAUCUUCCUAUCUACAUAUCCUUUCAAGUACUGAUUAAUGUUACUUUUGGUUGCAAAUAACAAUAAACCUUGCUAGAGAACUUAAACAUGGAGUUAUUUUUCUGGUUAAACAAGAAGACUGGAGUAAGCAAGACAGGUUGGUAGAUCAUCCUCUGGUUUCUUUUCCUGUUUUGUUGUCCUUCAGUUGUUGGCUUGCUUUUCUGUGUCUCUGUGAUAUCUGUUGCCUCUCCAGAUAUCCUGCACUUGUAAUUGUCAGAGGAGAAGUAAAAGCAAAGCGAACAAGCCAGAGGAGUAUACCAAUCUACUCUGUGACUUAAAAAGCUUUCCCAAGAGACCCACCGUAUGACUUCUGCUUAUAUAUCUCAUUGGCCAAAACUGGUUUAGAUGUUUCUAAUUGGAGUAUGGCUAAGGAAAAGCAAAAUGCGAACAAGACUUAUUCGUUUAACCAGUAAUGUCUGCCACCAAACUUAAAGUUUAAUUUAAUACUUAAGAAAAAUAUGGCACCACCCCAAAUUCAAUAUGAAGCUUCUUUUUUCUAUUAUUGUCACUAUAAUGUUUUGUAAACCCAUCAUCCCAAAACUCAGUGGCACACUACCUUAAAACAUUUACUUCUCUCUCAUGCAUCAUCCAGUCAUUUGGAGCAGCUCUGCAGGUUGUUGGAGCAGCACUGUUCACUCACUUUUCUAAACCCAAAGGACAAUCCAGGGCAUGUUUGUCUCACAGCGGUAGCUAGAGCACAAGAGGGCAAGCCAUAUCAUGAAAACAAAUUUUAAGCCUCUGUGCAAGUCAUUCAACUGCCAGCGUCCCAUUGGCCAAAGCAAGUCACAUGACCAAACCCAGUGGGAUGGGCAAAUACAUGCCCUUCCUGGAGAUUCAAAGCUUUAGGAGAGUGAUGACUAAUGUACUGAUCUUGGGGGUGGGGGUGAAAUGGCUGUUGUUUACAGAAGCAGUUGGAAUUAAUUUAUGUGGAUUUGAAAUUUCAUUUUCUUUCUUUCUUUUUUUUUUUUCCUUUUAAGGGCCACACCUGUGACAUGUGAAAGUUUCCAAGCUAGGGGUGGAAUCACAGCUAUAGCUGCCAUCCUAUACCACAGCCACAGCAACAUGGGAUUUGAGCUGCAUCUGCCACCUGCACCACAGCUCACAGCAACACCGGAUCCUUGAGCCACUGAACGAAGUCAGGCAUCACACCUGAAUCCUCAUGGAUCCUAGUCAGGUUCAUUACUGUUGAGCCAUGACGGGAGCUCCUGAAAUGCUGUUUUCUAAGUUUAGGAAAUUUUAGUCAUGUUUUCAUGAAAUUUCUAGAUGGCCCUUGUGGAUCUCAUAAAUUGUUCUUUCUGUACCUACUUAGUGAUGUAUUUUUAAAAAAUCAAUAAUUACAAGUACAUUUUUAAAUUUUUUCAUCUUCUGCCUUCUUCUAGGGCCACACGCAUGGCAUAUGGAAGUUCCCAGGCUAGGGGUCAAGUCGGAGCUGUAGCCACUGGCCUACACCAUAGCCACAGCAACUCAGGAUCCGAGCUGAGUCUGCGACCUACACCACAGCUCACAGCAACGCCAGAUCCUCAACCACUGAGCAAGGCCAGGGAUUGAACCCACAACCUCGUGGUUCCUAGUCGGAUUUAUUAACCACUGAGUCACCAUGGGAACUCUACAAGUACAUUUUUUGAGUCUUGAUGUGUGGAUUUGAUCAUGUAAAAACUCUUACCCCAGGGUUUAUAGUCUCACUUUUUUUUUUUUUUUUUUUUUUUUUUUUUUUUUUUUUCGCCAAGUGUAAUAGAGUGGUAUUACAAAAGUGGUAUAACAAAAAUGUAGCACGUACCAAGAGGCUGAUUCCAGCUGAAUGAGCAAAAUCUGUGAAAUGGAAUUAUGUUCAGUCUCUACACUCAAAUUAACACUGAUUAACCUUUUAUGGUGCACAAAAUGACAAAAAGUAACUCAGCUAACGUGGCUUUCCCCUUGAUUUCUGAAAUUAGAUAGCUAUGGGCUGUUAUAGUGACAACAUACAAAAUGUAAAAUCGAAGCUAUUAUACAAAUAAUUGGAGAUAAAA